UACGUAGGGUCCGAGCGUUGUCCGGAAUUACUGGGCGUAAAGAGCUCGUAGGUGGUUUGUCGCGUUGUUCGUGAAAACUCACAGCUCAACUGUGGGCGUGCGGGCGAUACGGGCAGACUUGAGUACUGCAGGGGAGACUGGAAUUCCUGGUGUAGCGGUGGAAUGCGCAGAUAUCAGGAGGAACACCGGUGGCGAAGGCGGGUCUCUGGGCAGUAACUGACGCUGAGGAGCGAAAGUGUGGGGAGGCGAACAGG
rnacentral:rRNA from 1 species